CCUCUAUGACAUCAGGGCCCUGUCCUGUAAGCUUCUCCCCACUGUGACCCUGGGCUCAGACUUCUGCCCCCUUGGCCACCCUCUAACCACUGAAAUGGCCAUGUGAACGGAGGAGGGAAGGACUGGGUACAGACAGGCAGGACCGGGCAGCACAAGCCCAAGCCACAUGUGCAAUGUGUUCUUCUAGACGCAAACUAUACCUGGCUUUGGAGGUGCCCCGUCCGAGCGUCUUCACUGUGCAGAGGGUCCUGCGGUAGCACUGCUUCCGACUUCCCCCUGCCGUGUGGACAGGACUCCUGCCAUGUGAACACGACUCCCCCUGCCGUGUAGACAUUCUAACCAUGCAAACUCAUCCUGUACCUGCUCCUGGGUCUCAUCCUCUCCUCAGGCAGGUGGUUGGCAGCCUCUCCCAUCAGGCAUCAGGCCAGAGAGGCGGAGAGGGAAUCAUUGUUCCUUUUCUCCUUCCUCUCUGGACCCGUGCUCCCCAGCCAAGCUGAGAGCCCUGAAGAGCGAGAGUCCCCCCUGGUGGGCACAUCUGGGCCACUCGGGCGGAGCUGGACGUCACUGCAGG